UGGGGAAUAUUGCACAAUGGACGGAAGUCUGAUGCAGCAACGCCGCGUGCGGGAUGACGGCCUUCGGGUUGUAAACCGCUUUCAUCCAUGACGAAGCUUUUGUGACGGUAGUGGGUAAAGAAGCACCGGCUAACUACGUGCCAGCAGCCGCGGUGAUACGUAGGGUGCGAGCGUUGUCCGGAUUUAUUGGGCGUAAAGAGCUUGUAGGCGGUUUGUCGCGUCGGGAGUGAAAACUCGGAGCUUAACUUUGAGCUUGCUUUCGAUACGGGCUGACUUGAGGGAGGUAGGGGAGAAUGGAAUUCCUGGUGGAGCGGUGGAAUGCGCAGAUAUCAGGAGGAACACCGGUGGCGAAGGCGGUUCUCUGGACCUUUCCUGACGCUGAGAAGCGAAAGCGUGGGGAGCGAACAGGCUUAGAUACCCUGGUAGUCCACGCCGUAAACGGUGGGUACUAGGUGUGGGGGACAUUCCACGUUCUCCGUGCCGUAGCUAACGCAUUAAGUACCCCGCCUGGGGAGUACGGCCGCAAGGCUA
rnacentral:rRNA from 1 species